GAUGAACGCUGGUGGCGUGCCUAAUACAUGCAAGUCGAGCGAACAGACGAGGAGCUUGCUCCUCUGACGUUAGCGGCGGACGGGUGAGUAACACGUGGAUAACCUACCUAUAAGACUGGGAUAACUUCGGGAAACCGGAGCUAAUACCGGAUAAUAUAUUGAACCUCAUGGUUCAAUAGUGAAAGACGGUUUUGCUGUCACUUAUAGAUGGACCCGCGCCGCAUUAGCUAGUUGGUAAGGUAACGGCUUACCAAGGCAACGAUGGGUAGCCGACCUGAGAGGGAGAACGGCCACACUGGAACAGAGACACGCUCCAGACUCCUACGGUAGGCAGCAGUAGGGAAUCUUCCGCAAUGGGCGAAAGCGUGACGGAGCAACACCGCGUGAGUGAUGAAGGUCUUCGGAUGUUAAAACUCUGUUAUUAGGGAAGAACAAAUGUGUAAGUAACUAUGCACGUCUUGACGGUACCUAAUCAGAAAGCCACGGCUAACUACGUG
rnacentral:rRNA from 1 species